rnacentral:rRNA from 1 species
UACGAAGGGGGCGAGCGUUGUUCGGAUUUACUGGGCGUAAAGGGCGCGCAGGCGGCAGACCAAGUCAGGCGUGAAAGCCCCGGGCUUAACCUGGGAGGUGCGUCUGGGACUGGUAUGCUAGAGUUCGGGAGAGGAGAGUGGAAUUCCCAGUGUAGAGGUGAAAUUCGUAGAUAUUGGGAAGAACACCCGUGGCGAAGGCGGCUCUCUGGGACGGUACUGACGCUGAGACGCGAAAGCGUGGGGAGCGAACGAGG